ACGCACGCUGGCGGCAUGCCUAACACAUGCCAGUCGAACGAGACCUUCGGGUCUAGUGGCGCACGGGUGCGUAACGCGUGGGAACCUGCCCUUAGGUUCGGAAUAACUCCCCGAAAGGGGUGCUAAUACCGGAUAAUGUCUUCGGACCAAAGAUUUAUCGCCUUUGGAUGGGCCCGCGUUGGAUUAGCUAGUUGGUAGGGUAAAAGCCUACCAAGGCGACGAUCCAUAGCUGGUCUGAGAGGAUGAUCAGCCACACUGGGACUGAGACACGGCCCAGACUCCUACGGGAGGCAGCAGUGGGGAAUAUUGGACAAUGGGCGAAAGCCUGAUCCAGCAAUGCCGCGUGAGUGAUGAAGGCCUUAGGGUUGUAAAGCUCUUUUACCCGGGAUGAUAAUGACAGUACCGGGAGAAUAAGCUCCGGCUAACUCCGUG
rnacentral:rRNA from 1 species